AGAGACAGCAGUCGCCGCGGGAAUACAGAGGGUGCGAGCGUUAAUCGGAUUUACUGGGCGUAAAGCGUGCGUAGGCGGCUUCUUAAGUCGGAUGUGAAAUCCCUGAGCUUAACUUAGGAAUUGCAUUCGAUACUGGGAAGCUAGAGUAUGGGAGAGGAUGGUAGAAUUCCAGGUGUAGCGGUGAAAUGCGUAGAGAUCUGGAGGAAUACCGAUGGCGAAGGCAGCCAUCUGGCCUAAUACUGACGCUGAGGUACGAAAGCAUGGGGAGCAAACAGGAUUAGAUACCCGAGUAGUCCCUGUCUCUUAUAC
rnacentral:rRNA from 1 species